AAUUUCAUUCAUCCCAGAACCAUGCUUGCUUUCUCUCUCUCCUCAAACGUACUUAGUAAAGUUGACUUAUAUUCAUUUCUUUAGUUGUGAAAUUUUCCUAACAAUCAAACAGGGUCCUUGAAAUUGAUUCUUAACAUAAAUUCUUUGAUUUGUUUCUGCAGGAUGUGUUCUUAUAGAUACAGCUACGCUUUUGCAGAAUUCAUAGUUUUUGUUCUUAUUUUAUUAAAUUGCUUUCUUGGAGUUUGGCUGCAAGUUGUUAAAAUGGCUAAGAGAAUGGAACUGUGAGCACUUCUGGUAAUCAUUGAUUUCGACAGCACGGCUCAACAAAUUUACUUUGUUAUAAUUUUUUGUUGGAAGAACCAAGUUAUGGUUAUUUUGUUGUUCAUAAGUACAAUAGGGCCUAUGAUAAAGAAAAUAGUUUAUUUAAGAAUUAAACAAGCUGGUAGAGGUUCAUUCUUUGGUAGAGAUCUGAACACUUGACAUGGUUGUGGUGGUCGGAAUUGCACUUGAAGCUUUGAAGGAGAUAAGAUGGAGGGCGGGUGGUGGUUCUCCGGAUCCGGUGAGUAGAAAGAAGAUGGCAGAGGUGAGGGAGAGGGGAAAGAAGAGAGAGAAAGGGGAGGAAAAGAAGGAGUGAAGGAGACUCUCACCGUUUUUUUAUUUUAUUGUUAUGAACAAUUAAAAUUUACCAUGUGUCAAUUUUUUAUGUGGAGGUCAAAUGGUGUUUGCCACCUAAAG
rnacentral:lncRNA from 1 species